UUGGGUGCUGCAAAGUAUAAUAAUAAUAAGCAAGUACAGCAUGGGUAGCAGCAGUGCAAGCUUCCACAAAAGGCCCCACCAGUAUGCUUCAACCCUGUCUAGAGGGAGCACUUUCAGAGAAUACUAUUAAUUUAGUCUCUAAGCCUUUUUAAAU
rnacentral:sRNA from 1 species